rnacentral:tRNA from 1 species
GCUAUAGUAGUUUAAAUAAAACAUUGGUCUUGUAAACCAAAAUAGAGACAAAUAUUCUCCUAAAGCU